UGCUUGUGUUUCCUCGUUGGCGCUGGACGCGAAGCGGCAAAAAUCAAAUAUCCGAAAAGAAAACAGAAAACAUUUCAAAUAUAUUCAAGUCGACAACAAACAGACACAUUUGACGCGUUGCGUAUACGCCACAUUUGCCUAGGCAACAGUGAGAAGACUCGCGCGUGAUUUUCCGUGAACCGGCAAAUAGCAAAUUCAAGUCCAACCAAGUGCCGGAGCGUGCUCGAGUGCGGAUCCGCAAAAACGUUACGGUCUACGGUUGCGUUUGCGUUUGCGUCUGCGGUUCCGUUUUUGUUGACAUUUUUGUGACGCGUCGUUUGGCACGAAACGAAAACUAAGCAUAAAAAAAAAGAGCAGGAACUUUUGGCUUUCCCUUUUGUUCAACUGUCUGGGCCAGGCUUUAGGCUUGAAGUGCAAGUUAAACAGGCAACAACUUAACCCCGAGGCCUCAAAUUAAAUCCAUUGUCAGCAGAGUCCAUGCAAUUAGCAAUGAGCCACAUAUUACAGGAAACUUUUUGAAUGCGAAAAACAUUAAAGAUACAGAUAAACUUGAGACGUGACUGCGCCCAGACGACGGAUAUGGCUGCUUAAGUGGCUCACUUCCGGUGAAUCCGGACAGGAAUAAGCAACAACAACCAACUCGAGCACAGACGCAGUUAUAGCCUUGGCCGCAUCCACAGCCAGCUCGGCCAGCUUAAUCUCAAUCUACAACUGAAAAGCGACUCAUUAGGUAUCCAAACAAAGUCCUUAAGCAUGGCCAAUGUAAGCAACGAGACGGUUAAUGCUUGGCUGGUCUCGGUCAGCACUCAGUUGCCGCAUGUACUGGGCAUAGAUGUGGGCGUCAAUUGGAGCAGCAGCAGCACGACCAGCACCACAACAAUGGCCAUACCCAGCAGCAGCAUGGGCACCACCACCACGGCAAGCACGGUGAGCAGCCUGUCCAGCGAUGCGAAUACGGACGCGGCCGCAGAUGCUGAUAAAUCGGGCAUUAUACACAAUCAGUUCGUGCAGAUCUUUUUCUAUGUACUGUACACCACAGUGUUUGUUCUGGGCGUAUUUGGCAAUGUGCUUGUCUGCUAUGUGGUGCUCAGGAAUCGUGCCAUGCAAACGGUAACCAAUAUAUUCAUUACCAAUCUGGCGCUAUCCGACAUUUUGCUUUGUGUGCUGGCCGUGCCCUUUACGCCAUUGUACACAUUUAUGGGUCGCUGGGCAUUUGGGCGCACUCUGUGCCAUCUGGUCUCCUUUGCCCAGGGCUGCAGCAUAUAUAUAUCGACGCUGACGCUGACCUCGAUUGCAAUCGAUCGCUAUUUUGUGAUCAUAUAUCCGUUCCAUCCGCGCAUGAAACUCUCCACAUGCAUUGGCAUCAUCGUGAGCAUUUGGGUGAUCGCACUGCUGGCAACUGUGCCCUACGGCAUGUACAUGAAGAUGACCAACGAGGUGAUGGAUAACACCACCCAGCUGGUUGGCGCCAAUCAGACAAGCAGCAGCCGGUAUGGCAAUUAUGGCCUUGCCACGCCCGACGCCACAUCGGCUGCCCAGGCCUACAUGCAGGUCAUGACCGACGGCGUCACUGUCUGCGAGGAGAACUGGCCAUCGGAGCAUUAUCGCAAGGUGUUUGGUGCCAUAACCACGACGCUGCAGUUUGUCUUACCAUUUUUCAUCAUAUCCAUUUGCUAUGUAUGGAUCUCGGUCAAGUUGAAUCAGCGUGCCAGAGCCAAGCCGGGCUCAAAGUCGUCGCGACGCGAGGAGGCGGAUCGGGAUCGCAAGAAGCGCACGAAUCGCAUGCUUAUCGCAAUGGUGGCAGUCUUUGGCCUCAGCUGGUUGCCCAUCAAUUUGGUGAACAUUUUUGAUGACUUCGAUGAUAAGUCCAACGAGUGGCGCCUCUAUAUGCUGUUCUUCUUUGUGGCCCACUCGAUUGCCAUGAGCUCCACCUGCUACAAUCCCUUUCUGUAUGCCUGGCUGAAUGAGAACUUCCGCAAGGAAUUCAAGCACGUGCUGCCCUGCUUCAAUCCAUCCAACAACAACAUCAUCAACAUCACCAGAGGCUACAAUCGCAGUGAUCGCAACACCUGCGGCCCGCGUCUGCAUCAUGGCAAUGGCGAGGGCGGCGCCGGUGGCAGUCUUGAUGCUGAUGAUCAGGACGAUAAUGGCAUCACACAGGAGACCUGCCUGCCCAAGGAGAAGCUGCUCAUCAUACCGCGCGAGCCCACCUAUGGCAAUGGCAACGGUGCCGUCUCCCCAAUACUCAGUGGGCGUGGCAUCAAUGCAGCCCUCCUGCAUGCCAGCCAGCCGCAGCAGCAACAGCAACAAGUCCAGCAGCAGCAAGUGGAGCUCACAAGACGCAUACGCCGACGCACAGACGACGACACCGAUUUUAUAGACUCCGGCGAUGAGCAGACGGUGGAGGUGCGCUUCAGCGAGACGCCGUUUGUCAGCUCCGACAAUACGACGGGCAUCAGCAUGCUGGAGACGAGCGAGAGCCAGUUCCAGGACUCAGGAGAGCUGCCCGAAUUGAGCGCUGUUGUGGUUGGAGAUGCCUCCAGGCGAUGUAACUGAGACAGGAUUUUCGAAACACAUUUCUAGGCGCAAUUGCUGGUCCUCGACAGUGGCAAGGAUAUCGACGACAACAAAGUGUAGGGGAAUGUGACAUAAACUACAAAGCUGAAAGUGCAAAGUUCUAGAGUAUGGGCGCAUGUUGGCGUGUGGGAGUGGCUGUUAGUCGUACUGUGUGGCACGAAAAGUGCUGAUAAAUGCCAAAUAAAGUGACAACGAUGCGAAUAUUGCCGCGCAGGGACGCCAGGGGGGGAGAGGAUGGAGCACAACAGUGCCCCAAGCAAUUGGCUGAAGCAGCUUCUCAAAUCGCUUGGUAUCAAAUUUCAUUCGCUGCGCCAUUUCGCAUAUUUGCGCAGCCUUGCAGGGAGUCGGGCGAAUCCAUUAAAACGCCGGCAUACUCCAUAUGGGUCGGCUAUAUGCGUCACCUCGAUUUCAAUUUCAAAAUUCUGCGUCUAACUGUCGCACAAAUGCUUCGCUUCACUCGGUUGUCGUUGGAAUUAAAUUUGUUGUGCCAAUUUUUGGUUCAAUUGCGCGGAAAAAUGUCAGCACAGCACCGCAACAAAAGGUAAAUGGCAGCAAAACAAAAGUAAAAUGCUGAAAACCAAAGAAAAUAAUUUACCCAACUAAAAAUAAAAAGAACAAAACUGGCAAACAAUAUUGUGCCAAAUAAAAUAAGCCUAAGCUGACAUUGAUGGGAUUUGUGUAGGCAACAGCAAGCCGAGCCAAAUAUUUGUCGAUCGACUGACAGCUGCUGGAAAACAAGUUAAGAGGCAGGAGUCAAAUUUUACCAAAUUGACGGAUGUUUCAAAGUUGUUUGCAUAGACAUUUUAUUGAAAUUUAGUUGGUGGCUCAAACCAGAGCUUAGACUAUUAGCCGGAUGAAGAGUGACAAGUUCUAAGCAAGUGAAAUCUAACUUCUUUGUGGCUCAGUUUUCCGGAAAAAUUCAAUUUCAAAACUGUCUUAAAUAAACCGGUCACACUCACGCUUAGGCGAAAAGCAAUGCAAGUGAAAAUGCUUAGAGAUAAAAUAAUUUGCUAGUCGUUACUUUGAUGUGAGUUUCAAUAUUAUAAAUUACGUGUUUAAGGCUUGACACUGUUUUAUGAAAAAACCAAUUAACGUAGAUAUUUAAGCCGCUUUAGAAAAACCAAAUCUGUUCGACACGCUUUCAAAGUGUUUUGACUGUAGAACUUAAUUUAGCAUAAAAGCAAAUGGAAAUUUAGUGUAACAAAUGCUGGGCAUGACGUGAAGCAAGGAGAGAAUAACUACAAAUAAAAAACAAAUAGAGCACACAAAAAUAGUAGAGAACCAAAAGUAUUCAAAGUCUUGUUGACCCUGAGCCCCACUUUUGAAAGUUUAUGUCAGGCGAUGUUGCCAGAGGAUGACACACUAUUAUUCUCUCAAAUCGUUUUGCUGCAACUCAAGCCAUGUGCUAUCCUGUAAAUUAAGCUUUCAAAAAAAUGUCAGCGAUUUUUGUGUACUUUUGGUUUGUCAUAUAUAAAAAGUUGCACUGCGUAUACGUAAUAUCUGUUAGUUGGUCUACGAAAAAAAAAAGAAAACAAAUAAAUGAAAUAUAGUAAAAGUAGAGACAAGUUAAAAUGCAACAAGAUAAAUGUUGACACAUCAAAUGUUUUUUGUGGUUCACCUCAAUAUGAACAAAAAAAUAUAUAUACAUGUAUAUAUAUAUAUAUAUAUAUAUAUUUGAAUAUAAAUAUAAUACUCAAAAGCACAAGCUGUGUGGUAAGACAGGUGGAAAAACGAGGCGCAAUUUUAAAUUGCAAUCUUAUUUGUCACUUAAGCAGGGGUUUCAACUGAAUUCUGAAACGGCACAAAACACUAAAUUGAAUUUAAAUUCUAAUGACAACAACUUAAAGAAAAAACAUAAGGCCAAAUAAAUAUUAAUUGUAGGCUUAAAGGAAAAUGUUAAAGGCACUGAAUGUUUAAUAGAAUCUUAAGUAUAUGUAAUUAAAGAACUAAUUUGUAAGGUGUGUGUUAAAUUAUAAUCAAUAAACUCAUUUAAGACAGUUUUUCAAAUGCAAAAGAGCAAACGAAUACGAACGAAUGAAAUGCAACUAAGUUAAUGACAAAAUACGAUAUCAAAUAUACAAUUUGUCUAGAAAUUAUAUGUAGUAAAAUCUAUGUGAAAGACUCAUAAGUAAAAGGUCGCAGACAAAACUACAAAAUAUACAAAAUGAAUGUUAAAUUAUUCGAAAAUUUAAUUAUAAGUUAGGCAUAUUUAUAAAAGUCAUGAAGUAACGCGUAGAAAUCUAAGAACGAGGUUAAAAUCUAUAUAUGUUUGUUGUAUGUUAAAUUCAAGCUAAGCAUAUAAAGUAAAAACCUUUAAAGAUAAAUAACGUAAAAUAAAAUUGCAAAUAUAUUAAAAUAUUAUAUGAUUUUAAUGGCCAAUACGAAGUUAUAUAAUUCAUUGUGCAUUACAAUUCACAAAAUUAAAAUGUUUUUAAUGAAUGUCGCAAUCUGCAAACUUCAAGUCAAAUAAAUGUUAAAUCAUAUAUCAAUUGGCAAACAUACAUACAUACAUGCAUACAUAUAUAUAUAUAUAUAUAUAUAUAAAUGUGUUAUAUUAAUAAUAAUAAACGUGAAUUGUUAAGUAAAUGGUGAGCAAAAAAGCCGUCGCAGCCAAGUAUUAAACAUUGAUUCAGCUAUCAAUAAAAACCAAUUAAAA